rnacentral:rRNA from 1 species
GACAGAGGGUGCAAACGUUGUUCGGAAUUACUGGGCGUAAAGCGCGUGUAGGCGGCUACGUAAGUCGGAUGUGAAAGCCCCAGGCUCAACCUGGGAAGUGCACUCGAUACUGCGUAGCUUGAGUAUCGGAGAGGUUGGUGGAAUUCUCGGUGUAGAGGUGAAAUUCGUAGAUAUCGAGAGGAACACCGGUGGCGAAGGCGGCCAACUGGACGAAUACUGACGCUGAGACACGAAAGCGUGGGGAGCAAACAGG